GACGAACGCUGGCGGCGUGCUUAACACAUGCAAGUCGAACGGAAAGGCCCUGCUUUUGUGGGGUGCUCGAGUGGCGAACGGGUGAGUAACACGUGAGUAACCUGCCCUUGCCUUUGGGAUAACUUCAGGAAACUGGGGCUAAUACCGGAUAGGAGCUCCUGCUGCAUGGUGGGGGCUGGAAAGUUUCGGCGGUUGGGGAUGGACUCGCGGCUUAUCAGCUUGUUGGUGGGGUAGUGGCUUACCAAGGCUUUGACGGGUAGCCGGCCUGAGAGGGUGACCGGCCACAUUGGGACUGAGAUACGGCCCAGACUCCUACGGGAGGCAGCAGUGGGGUAUAUUGCACAAUGGGCGGAAGCCUGAUGCAGCAACGCCGCGUGCGGGAUGACGGCCUGCGGGUUGUAAACCGCUUUCGCCUGUGACGAAGCGUGAGUGACGGUAAUGGGUAAAGAAGCACCGGCUAACUACGUG
rnacentral:rRNA from 1 species